AUUGAACGCUGGCGGCAGGCCUAACACAUGCAAGUCGAGCGGAUGAAGGGAGCUUGCUCCUGGAUUCAGCGGCGGACGGGUGAGUAAUGCCUAGGAAUCUGCCUGGUAGUGGGGGAUAACGUCCGGAAACGGGCGCUAAUACCGCAUACGUCCUGAGGGAGAAAGUGGGGGAUCUUCGGACCUCACGCUAUCAGAUGAGCCUAGGUCGGAUUAGCUAGUUGGUGGGGUAAAGGCCUACCAAGGCGACGAUCCGUAACUGGUCUGAGAGGAUGAUCAGUCACACUGGAACUGAGACACGGUCCAGACUCCUACGGGAGGCAGCAGUGGGGAAUAUUGGACAAUGGGCGAAAGCCUGAUCCAGCCAUGCCGCGUGUGGGAAGAAGGUCUUCGGAUUGUAAAGCACUUUAAGUUGGGAGGAAGGGCAGUAAGUUAAUACCGUGCUGUUUUGACGUUACCAACAGAAUAAGCACCGGCUAACUUCGUG
rnacentral:rRNA from 1 species